GUCUAUGUCCAUAUACUCUGAACUUAACCAGUCCCUUCUGAUCUUGAAAGCUAAACGGGGUUGCGCCUGGUUAGUACUUGAAUGGUAGACAUUCCUACCCCAGUUCUGGGAAUAUAUGCU
rnacentral:rRNA from 1 species